AUGUUGGAUCGUCUUGAGUCUAUCCUUGCUGCUUUUGAUGGUGAAAUUCAAUCGCAAGGGUAUGAAUCUCAUUACCAAGGUGUUUAUCUAGUGAAGUGUAACCAGGAUAGGUAUGUUGUUGAGGACAUAGUUGAAUUUGGGAAUAUAAAUUGA